GCUGUCUGUCUAAUGUCACAUAACGCGUGCAGACAAAAGUUAAAACUUUACUUUCAACGCGCAAUAGUACACAUGAUAAAGUAUAUUUAACUGGUGGAAUGCUUGGAGAUGUGCACAUUGUGCAUUUCCACGCGCGUAUAAAAAUUAAGGAUUACAUUAUUUAAAUUCUGAACGUUUUUAUUUAACAUUUUAUAUUAUAAUAAUGACGUUAAUUCAGGAUUUUAUAUAUCGUUGUAGAUACGAAUAGCAUGUUGACAUGCUUUCACUUUCAACAAGAUAUCACGGACGAGAGUACAUGAUUAAUUACGUUCAUAAUUAGCACGUAAUCCGUAAUAGCUAAUCGUGGUUUGACUAAAGCUACUAGAGCUAUUCGAGGACAACGACCAAUUUCAAUCGAUAUCUUGCGCAUAUACGAAGCAGUGUGCAUCUACUGAUUGUGAGAAUAUAUAGGACCUGUGUAUUGCCAACAAAUUAAGAUAUCGGAUGGAAGUCAAAAUUACGAUCUAUUUCACUUAACGACGUAGCAUGCAAAAUAGGAUUUCUCCUCGUACGUGAUUGCGGCAAUUGUGCACGUGUUAAUAUUACAUAUAUGACACCUAGCCACGGAAUCAACUACCGGCAAAAAUGUUUUAGUCUUGCGUGUCACCAGUAAAUAACCGAUUAUCAGAACUAUAUACGCACAAAUCUCUCUUAUUAUUUUUUCUUUAUUAACAAUCUUGUUAGCCAAGCCAUUUUAAUUAUUAUAGUAUGGACAGAAAAUCAGUCUACUGUCUUUUUGUCUCAUAAAUAUUUACAUAAACUUUGAAAUUUUGUUUC